rnacentral:rRNA from 1 species
AGUGCCUCAGUAACGGCGAGUGAAGCGGCAACAGCUCAAAUUUGAAAUCUGGCCGCAAGGUCCGAGUUGUAAUUUGCAGAGGAUGCUUUUGGCGAGGUGCCUUCCGAGUUCCCUGGAACGGGACGCCAUAGAGGGUGAGAGCCCCGUACGGUUGGACCACCGAGCCUCUGUAAAGCUCCUUCGACGAGUCGAGUAGUUUGGGAAUGCUGCUCUAAAUGGGAGGUGUACGUCUUCUAAAGCUAAAUACCGGCCAGAGACCGAUAGCGCACAAGUAGAGUGAUCGAAAGAUGAAAAGCACUUUGAAAAGAGGGUUAAAAAGUACGUGAAAUUGUUGAAAGGGAAGCGUUUAUGACCAGACUUGGGCUUGGUUGAACAUCCGGCGUUCUCGCCGGUGCACUCUGCCAGUCCAGGCCAGCAUCAGUUUGUCCCGGGGGAUAAAGGCGGUGGGAAUGUGGCUCCCCCGGGAGUGUUAUAGCCCGCCGUGCAAUGCCCUGGGACGGACUGAGGAACGCGCUUCGGCACGGAUGCUGGCGUAAUGGUCAUCAACGACCCGUCUUGAACCAACGGACCA